rnacentral:rRNA from 1 species
GACGAACGCUGGCGGCGUGCUUAACACAUGCAAGUCGAACGGAAAGGCCCUGCUUUUGUGGGGUGCUCGAGUGGCGAACGGGUGAGUAACACGUGAGUAACCUGCCCUUGACUUUGGGAUAACUUCAGGAAACUGGGGCUAAUACCGGAUAGGAGCUCCUGCUGCAUGGUGGGGGUUGGAAAGUUUCGGCGGUUGGGGAUGGACUCGCGGCUUAUCAGCUUGUUGGUGGGGUAGUGGCUUACCAAGGCUUUGACGGGUAGCCGGCCUGAGAGGGUGACCGGCCACAUUGGGACUGAGAUACGGCCCAGACUCCUACGGGAGGCAGCAGUGGGGAAUAUUGCACAAUGGGCGGAAGCCUGAUGCAGCAACGCCGCGUGCGGGAUGACGGCCUUCGGGUUGUAAACCGCUUUCGCCUGUGACGAAGCGUGAGUGACGGUAAUGGGUAAAGAAGCACCGGCUAACUACGUGCCAGCAGCCGCGGUGAUACGUAGGGUGCGAGCGUUGUCCGGAUUUAUUGGGCGUAAAGGGCUCGUAGGUGGUUGAUCGCGUCGGAAGUGUAAUCUUGGGGCUUAACCCUGAGCGUGCUUUCGAUACGGGUUGACUUGAGGAAGGUAGGGGAGAAUGGAAUUCCUGGUGGAGCGGUGGAAUGCGCAGAUAUCAGGAGGAACACCAGUGGCGAAGGCGGUUCUCUGGGCCUUUCCUGACGCUGAGGAGCGAAAGCGUGGGGAGCGAACAGGCUUAGAUACCCUGGUAGCCCACGCUGUAAACGGUGGGUACUAGGUGUGGGGUCCAUUCCACGGGUUCCGUGCCGUAGCUAACGCUUUAAGUAUCCCGCCUGGGGAGUACGGCCGCAAGGCUAAAACUCAAAGGAAUUGACGGGGCCCCGCACAAGCGGCGGAGCAUGCGGAUUAAUUCGAUGCAACGCGUAGAACCUUACCUGGGUUUGACAUGGAUCGGGAGUGCUCAGAGAUGGGUGUGCCUCUUUUGGGGUCGGUUCACAGGUGGUGCAUGGCUGUCGUCAGCUCGUGUCGUGAGAUGUUGGGUUAAGUCCCGCAACGAGCGCAACCCUUGUUCACUGUUGCCAGCACGUUAUGGUGGGGACUCAGUGGAGACCGCCGGGGUCAACUCGGAGGAAGGUGGGGAUGACGUCAAAUCAUCAUGCCCCUUAUGUCCAGGGCUUCACGCAUGCUACAAUGGCUGGUACAGAGAGUGGCGAGCCUGUGAGGGUGAGCGAAUCUCGGAAAGCCGGUCUCAGUUCGGAUUGGGGUCUGCAACUCGACCUCAUGAAGUCGGAGUCGCUAGUAAUCGCAGAUCAGCAACGCUGCGGUGAAUACGUUCCCGGG